rnacentral:lncRNA from 1 species
CAAACAGUCAUUGGAAAUAGAACUAGACUGUAUGCUAUCUGGAAAAUUCCCUGAAAGCAGCAGGAAAGCUUAAUGAAUUUUGAAACUCCAAUUGAGGCUGUGACCUAAGCACCUGGCCCCUGCUCCUGUCCUCUGCCUGGAGACCACCCUGGUAUCUGUUCUGUACGGCCCUGUGUGGUGUGCCUCCUGUCUCUAGGACCUGAGGAUUUACGUACCUACAGGUCUACAGGCCCAUGGGCCUGGCCACAGAGCACACGGGUUACACGUGGAGGUUGCUCACCUGAAGUUGCCUCUGAAGAUGAUCACCUUCUGUAAGGCAACCCAGCCAGAGCCAGCCUGCUUUUACCCGGCUUCCAGUGGCGGUUUUGGAACACAUCCCCCAAGGAUAAGGGCGGGCUACUGUGCACCAGUCCCAUAUGGAUCUUAAAAGUGCAGCGGUUCAUGGUGUACUGAGAUCCGUGUGCAUGUUUUUCAACUAAAUCUGUGGCAGAUUCCAGUUUGCCUGAAUUUUUAAAGUAUAAAUGAUUUCAGCAGUCAAAAUAUACAUGGAGCAACAGAAGGCAACUACAAAACUCAUAGGACCUACAAACUUUCUAUGAUGGACUGAGUCGUGCUCAUCUGAAGGAAAUUGUAGCUGUCAUUGCUGGCGAAAUUGAAGGGUCCAGAUAUUAUCUCCACUACAACCUGGUUGGGCAUCUCAUAGUUUUCACUUUCCUACAGACCUACCUAUUUGAAGGAUGGGAAUCUGAAGGAUGGGAAUCUGAAGAAUGUGUUUGUCCAGGCCAGUGGGCUCCCACUGCUUCAGCUUCUGAGAAGGCCCUGAGACAGAAUGCCUACAGACAAAGGCCACAGGGAGCCAGAGAGAAGUUUUGAACUGAGAGACUGAAUAUACAAACAGACAAUGGCCAGACCGUGUAUAAAAAGAGAACUCCGACCACAACCUGCAGCAACCAGUCCAGGAAGCCAGCCUGCUCUCUACAAGUCAGCCUUGCAGGAAGUCAGACCUCUAACUCUAGUAACAGUCUGGGAAGCCAGACAAUAACCCCUGUAACAAUGGCCUCAAACAACCAGGAUUCGAUUCAUAACUGACGACUUGUCUAAUUUUUGUCCCUGCUUCCAACUUAGGACCAACGGGAGAAAGCCAAAUGUGUCCCCUAACAAUCACACAGGAUGCCCCACUUCUAGUCUGCUGGGCCUCCAGCUGCCCCAGACUAUCAGCUCCCUCAGGGCUCCCCCAGAGCCUUCCCUUUUCCACUGUAAAGCUCUCCCACUGCUCUGCCCGCCUUUCAGUCAAGUGAUGGAGGCUGACUCCCUUGCUAGAGCAAGCUCGGAAUAAAUGGCUGUUGCCUGUUCUCAUUUGGUUAGUCUUCAUUUAUUUCCACAGAAUCCAGGGAAGACAACUCAGACAGAACGUGGAGAAUAGAUGAGAAGUUGAAGAGACAGUGGCUGCGGCAGUCGCCUUUGCCGUGGGCAGGACACCUCUGCAGAACUACUAAUUAAUUGUCUUUUGUUCAUUUUGCUUUUCG